UACGGAAGGCAGCAGUAGGGAAUCUUCCGCAAUGGACGAAAGUCUGACGGAGCAACGCCGCGUGAACGAUGAAGGCUUUCGGGUCGUAAAGUUCUGUUGUUAGGGAAGAACAAGUACCGGAGUAACUGCCGGUACCUUGACGGUACCUAACCAGAAAGCCACGGCUAACUACGUGCCAGCAGCCGCGGUAAUACGUAGGUGGCAAGCGUUGUCCGGAAUUAUUGGGCGUAAAGCGCGCGCAGGCGGUCCUUUAAGUCUGAUGUGAAAGCCCACGGCUCAACCGUGGAGGGUCAUUGGAAACUGGGGGACUUGAGUGCAGAAGAGGAGAGUGGAAUUCCACGUGUAGCGGUGAAAUGCGUAGAGAUGUGGAGGAACACCAGUGGCGAAGGCGACUCUCUAGUCUGUAACUGACGCUGAGGCGCGAAAGCGUGGGGAGCGAACAGGGAUUAGAUACCCG
rnacentral:rRNA from 1 species